GCCUCGGUAGCUCAGCCUGGUAGAGCAACUGCCUUGUAAGCAGUAGGUCGUGGGAUCAAAUCCCGCCCGAGGCU
rnacentral:tRNA from 1 species